AGCGGCGAAAGGGUGAGGAAAACGUAGUUACGUACCCCCGGGUCCGGGAUAGCUGAGGGAAACUUCAGGUAAUACCGGAUGACGUCUCCGGACCAAAGGUGAGAUUCCGCCCGGGGAGCGGACUGCGUCCUACUAGCUAGUUGGUGGGGUAAUGGCCUACCAAGGCGACGAUGGGUAGCGGGCGUGAGAGCGUGGCCCGUCACACUGGGACUGAGACACUGCCCAGACACCUACGGGUGGCUGCAGUCGAGAAUCUUCGGCAAUGCGCGAAAGCGUGACCGAGCGACGCCGCGUGCGGGAUGAAGGCCCUCGGGUUGUAAACCGUAAAGGUAGGGAGGAAGGGCCCGUGAAGAGCGGGUCUUGACCGAUCUACAGUAAGGCCGGGCUAAGUUCGUGCCAGCAGCCGCGGUAAUACGAACCGGCCAAACGUUAUUCGGAAUCAUUGGGCUUAAAGAGUGCGUAGGCGGCGCCGUAAGUCGGGUGUGAAAUCCCUCGGCUCAACCGAGGAACUGCGCCCGAUACUGCGGCGCUCGAGGGAGACAGGGGUGAGCGGAACUGAUGGUGGAGCGGUGAAAUGCGUUGAUAUCAUCAGGAACACCGGUGGCGAAAGCGGCUCACUGGGUCUUUUCUGACGCUGAGGCACGAAAGCUAGGGUAGCGAACGGGAUUAGAUACCCCGGUAGUCCUAGCCGUAAACGAUGAGCACUAG
rnacentral:rRNA from 1 species